GGUGCAGCUAUAUAGUUGGAUGCAGCUACAUAAGAAGUUUACAUCUCAACCCAAGUGCUUUAUUCACAACCAAACAGGUCAGUACUUCUCGGUAAUGUCCUCCAUGAUCCUGG